GAGGGUAUAGCUCAGUGGUAGAGCACAUGCUAGGGUUCAAUCCCCAGUACCUCCA
rnacentral:tRNA from 1 species